GACGAACGCUGGCGGCGUGCUUAACACAUGCAAGUCGAACGAAGAGCGAUGGAAGCUUGCUUCUAUCAAUCUUAGUGGCGAACGGGUGAGUAACGCGUAAUCAACCUGCCCUUCAGAGGGGGACAACAGUUGGAAACGACUGCUAAUACCGCAUACGAUCUAACCUCGGCAUCGAGGAUAGAUGAAAGGUGGCCGCUACAUGUAAGCUAUCACUGAAGGAGGGGACUGCGUCUGGUCAGCUAGUUGGAGGGGUAACGGCCAACCAAGGGGAUGAGCAGUAGCCGGUCUGAGGAGGAACGGCCACGCUGGGCCGGAGACACGGCCCACAACCCUACGGGAGGGAGCAGGCCGGAACCCUUCGGGAUGGAAGCAAGUGUGACGGAGCAACGCCGCGCGAGAGAUGACGGCCGUCGGGUUGUAAAGAUCAGUUAGGCGGGACGAAAGGACUUCUUGCGAAUAGGUAGAGGGAAUGACGGUACCGGAAGAGAAAGCCACGGCUAACUACGUG
rnacentral:rRNA from 1 species